rnacentral:lncRNA from 1 species
AUAACAAAUCUAUUCCCGGAAACGAAACCUACACAUGGGAAUCAAGAAACUAAGAUUAAACCAAAAUACACUUACUAUUUGCCAUGCCUAAAACUAAAGCAACACAGAACCGAUGAGCUGAUCGAAACCAACAAAAAGACUUAGAUCAAUCUACAUGCAAACUUGGACAAGAUCCUUGAUAGAAGUAAGUCGAGGAAGCCACGUCACAGCUAGACCACGAUUACUGAAACCUCCUAUAGUGAAUAGCCCAACCAUUGAAAAGAACCAAGCUUCAAGAACCAGCAAGACAGAACAAGUUGAGUUCCGUAACAAUAAACCAGUUGCUGCGACGUCGGAGAGAUGAUUUGAGAACGCCAUUAAAGAAGCUUCAUGCAAGGACCAGAUCUCGAUCAGAUCCGUAUGGAGAAGACAAGGAGCGAAUACAACCUUAACCGGAUUCCGUCACACUCAACAUGCAAGAGAGGAAGAAGGUCGAACCGGAAAAGACUCAAGGAGAACUCGAAGAGCAAAUGCAAAAUCAAUCGAUAAGCCCACAGCUUCAAAUCACAACCCAGAACCACCAGCCCAAUUAAAAGGCAUGCAAAUCAGUAAGAGCAUCUGCGUUGACGGUUCAAUGCAGAGGUUCACACAUUUCC